rnacentral:rRNA from 1 species
GUGGGGAAUAUUCCGCAAUGGACGAAAGUCUGACGGAGCAACGCCGCGUGAGUGAUGAAGGUUUUCGGACUGUAAAGCUCUGUUGUUUAGGACGAAAGUGCCUGUUGCGAACAGUUACAGGUAUUGACGGUACUAAACGAGGAAGCCACGGCUAACUACGUGCCAGCAGCCGCGGUAAUACGUAGGUGGCAAGCGUUGUCCGGAAUUAUUGGGCGUAAAGAGCAUGUAGGCGGAGAUUUAAGUCUGUUGUGAAAAUGCGGGGCUCAACCCCGUAUUGCGAUGGAAACUGAAUUUCUUGAGUGCAGGAGAGGAAAGGGGAAUUCCAAGUGUAGCGGUGAAAUGCGUAGAUAUUGGGAGGAACACCAGUGGCGAAGGCGCCUUUCUGGACUGUGUCUGACGCUGAGAUGCGAAAGCCAGGGUAGCGAACGGGAUUAGAAACCCGUGUAGUCC